CCAGUUUUGAAUGUCCAUACAAACAAAAUUCUCCGGGGGGACUAUUGCGAAAUCCGUCAGCACUAGCCACUGGCCUGCCAGUGUUUGCGCCAGAGCCCGUUGAACUUGGAGUCGCAAACCCUGAAAUCCCGCCAGCUUCUUCCUCUUGCAACAUGUUGCUUAGCAGUAGCUUAGUCCUUGCUCGUUAGCGAGCAAAAUAAUGAUAUGCGCUGUUUUAUCUCCAACACUGUGCCCUCCCUGCUUUGAAACAGCCCGAAUGUAUGAUUUACCUGGUACGGAUACUCCCAAGGGACAUCCUACUACACCUGGCAGACGGGUAACAUGUCCUGGAGGUACUGUGUCCUGGAUCAGGUGAUUGUCCUGCAGGUCUACAGAGACUAACUUCAGAUUCAGGUUAUUCCAGUCGGCAGUGUCGUGGAUCAGUAUUCUCUUGAAAUCGGAGUCCUCGAGAUUUCCAGCCAUAGCCUACCUAGGCUAUGUGCCUAUGAUCGAAAUCAACACAGUGACCCUGCGACGGCGUCUGCACUUUGAGUUUGUCACGUUCCGAGAGCCCAUGGAACCAAUCCCGCCCUGACGUCCUACGUCUCCCAAUUCACAGGGACCAACAGCAUCAACAUUUGAGCGUGAGGAGUGGAGGGUUAUAUUUGCAUGAAUGGUGAUGUAAAGCAGGCAUCAAUUUAUUGGUGUUUUAACAUAUUUUGCAGUAUGUCCUAUGUUUUGGGGAUUGCCCUCACUUUUUUUAUUUUUAGAUAUAGCUUAAAUAUGAUGAUGGCGACCAAUAUAAAAUGCUACUGUCUGUCUGUGGGGUCAUUUACAUUUCUCGAUUUUUUUUAUCCCUUCAUUCAAAACCCCCCAAAAUACAGUCCAUUGAUUCCUCACUCCAUUUUUUUGUAUUUCAUAUUCAAGAGCUUCGUGCUCUACAACAGUUGUAUUUUUUCAUUUUGAACGAAAGACUGUUCAACGAUGUGAAUCAUGAAUUAAAAAGUGCGUUUGCCGUGAAGAGACUGCUUUUAACACGCAAAUCAACAAAA